rnacentral:pre_miRNA from 1 species
GGGCAGAGGUCGGAUCCUGCGCUGUGUCCCCGGGGCCCUGUGUUCCCGGGCCUGCGCUUUUGGAUUCGCGCUCUGGGCCGCAGCCCCCU